rnacentral:rRNA from 1 species
AGUCUAUUCAGAGGAACCUGUCCUGUAAUUGAUAAUCCACGAUGAACCUUGCUUAAGUUUGUUUUUCAGUUUAUAUACCGUCGUUAUCAGAAUAUUUUAUUAGAAUAAUAAUUUUCUAUAAUUUUAAUAGGAAUGUAUAUCAGAUCAAGGUGUAGCUUAUAUUUGAGUAGAGAUGGGUUACAAUAAAUAUAUUUAAACGGAUCUAAUUAUGAAAUAUUUUUAGUGAAGGUGGAUUUGAUGGUAAAAUUUUAAAGAUUGUGAAUUUGAUUUUAGCUCUAGAAUAUGCACACAUCGCCCGUCGCUCUUACUAUUAAGGUAAGAUAAGUCGUAACAUAGUAGAUGUACCGGAAGGUGUAUCUAGAAUGA